rnacentral:rRNA from 1 species
CGCGUAGGCGGGUCAGCAAGUCCGCUGUGAAAGCCCGAGGCUUAACCUCGGCGGGUCGGUGGAUACUGUUGGUCUUGAAGGUGCUAGGGGGAGAUGGAAUGACCGGUGUAGCGGUGAAAUGCGUAGAUAUCGGUCGGAACACCAGUGGCGAAGGCGGUCUCCUGGGGCAUUCUUGACGCUGAGGCGCGAAAGCUGGGGGAGGCGAACG